rnacentral:tRNA from 1 species
UCCCAUGUGGUCUAGCGGUUAGGAUUCCUGGCUUUCACGCAGGCAGCCCGGGUUCGAUUCUCGGCAUGGGAA